AUCUUUGCGCUUGGGAUAAUGACGCAGCUAAUGAGAUAAUAAUCUAGGCGCGUCUAUUGCUGGUUGAAAACUAUUUCCAAACCCCCUUUGGGCCUAGUGUAAUACCUAGGCCUAUGAGAAUUUAUGAAAGGGCUCCCUUUUUGGGUAAAGCC